GUGGUGGAAGGUCAACAGCACGCGUUACCCUCGGCUUUCUAUAAUGGCAAGGGAUUUUUUGGCUGUGCAGCCAACUUCAGUAGCUCCUGAAGAACUCUUCUGCAGUAAGGGUGAUGAGAUCGAUAAGCAACGGUUUUGUAUGCCACAUGAUAGCACACAAGCCAUUCUUUGCAUUAGAUCAUGGACUCAAGGAGGGAUCAAGUUAAAGUACAAGUCAACAGAAAUAGAUUAUGAGAGGUUGAUGGAGUUGGCAUUAGUUGCUGCAGCAGAUAACAGCACUACUGGGUCUGACAAAAAACAAAAAUGACAAGACACAUUGAAGAAUGAGAAAUGCUGAUUAUAAUUAG
rnacentral:misc_RNA from 1 species